UACGAAGGGUGCAAGCGUUACUCGGAAUUACUGGGCGUAAAGCGUGCGUAGGUGGUUCGUUAAGUCUGUUGUGAAAGCCCUGGGCUCAACCUGGGAAUGGCAUUGGAAACUGGCGACCUAGAGUGCGGUAGAGGGUAGUGGAAUUCCCGGUGUAGCAGUGAAAUGCGUAGAGAUCGGGAGGAACAUCCGUGGCGAAGGCGACUACCUGGACCAGCACUGACACUGAGGCACGAAAGCGUGGGGAGCAAACAGG
rnacentral:rRNA from 1 species